rnacentral:rRNA from 1 species
AUUCACGGAGAGUUUGAUCCUGGCUCAGGACGAACGCUGGCGGCGUGCUUAACACAUGCAAGUCGAACGAUGAACC